rnacentral:rRNA from 1 species
UACGAAGGGUGCUAGCGUUGUUCGGAAUUACUGGGCGUAAAGCGCGCGUAGGCGGUGAUGCAAGUCAGAGGUGAAAUCCCAGGGCUUAACCCUGGAACUGCCUUUGAAACUGCAUUGCUGGAGUGUGUGAGGGGAUAGCGGAAUUCCUAAUGUAGAGGUGAAAUUCGUAGAUAUUAGGAGGAACACCGGUGGCGAAGGCGGCUAUCUGGCACACAACUGACGCUGAGGCGCGAAAGCGUGGGGAUCAAACAGG